AUGAAGAGGAUAUUGGGAGCUCUGCUGGGGCUCUUGAGUGCCCAGGUUUGCUGUGUGAGAGGAAUACAAGUGGAGCAGAGUCCUCCAGACCUGAUUCUCCAGGAGGGAGCCAAUUCCACGCUGCGGUGCAAUUUUUCUGACUCUGUGAACAAUUUGCAGUGGUUUCAUCAAAACCCUUGGGGACAGCUCAUCAACCUGUUUUACAUUCCCUCAGGGACAAAACAGAAUGGAAGAUUAAGCGCCACGACUGUCGCUACGGAACGCUACAGCUUAUUGUACAUUUCCUCUUCCCAGACCACAGACUCAGGCGUUUAUUUCUGUGCUGUGGAGC